rnacentral:rRNA from 1 species
GACGAACGCUGGCGGCGUGCUUAACACAUGCAAGUCGAACGGAAAGGCCCUGCUUGCAGGGUACUCGAGUGGCGAACGGGUGAGUAACACGUGGGUGAUCUGCCCUGCACUUCGGGAUAAGCCUGGGAAACUGGGUCUAAUACCGGAUAGGAGCCAUUUUUAGUGUGAUGGUUGGAAAGUUUUUUCGGUGUAGGAUGAGCUCGCGGCCUAUCAGCUUGUUGGUGGGGUAAUGGCCUACCAAGGCGGCGACGGGUAGCCGGCCUGAGAGGGUGGACGGCCACAUUGGGACUGAGAUACGGCCCAGACUCCUACGGGAGGCAGCAGUAGGGAAUAUUGCACAAUGGGCGCAAGCCUGAUGCGGCGACGCCGCGGGGGGGAUGACGGCCUUCGGGUUGGAAACUCCUUUCGCUAGGGACGAAGCUUUUUGUGACGGUACCUAGAUAAGAAGCACCGGCUAACUACGUG